rnacentral:lncRNA from 1 species
CCUCGCGACUCCUUUAUGUAUUACUAGAUUAAAGAACAAAAUAAAACAUCCCAACAAUUACAUAACCUAACUCAUCUAUUUAUACUAAAUUAAAUACUUAAUAAACAAGCUAUCCUAAACCAAUACCAACUGAACUCUAAUACUUAUUAACUAAUUAAUAAAAUAACUAGAUAAACAGAUUAAUCCUUCAUAGAAUCUAGGUGACACACCAGUUAGUGAUUUAACCAACAAAUAGUUGAGCGCUAACCCAUUGACACUUGGUGACACAGUGUGCUAACUUAAGUCUAUGUACAUUUUAUAUGGGGUCAAUAUAUAACUAAAAUAUAUACCUAUAGUUUUUUUAAACGGUAAAGAAUGAUGUGUCAGCCGUUAUAACAUGUGUGACUAGAUUAAUUGUUACAUAUGUACCUUACGUAGGUCACAUACAUAACAUAUGGAUUUUCACGAACACAAAACCGAACGUAAUUUUUAAAUAAAUACAAUUUCGUGAACACAUAACCAAACCGGAUAGACUGACCGACAAAUUAAAAUUUCACAAACACAAAACAAUUUUUAUACAAAAUGUAGGUUUAGGAUCAAAUACAAAAGCUCCUAAAAAUAAGAAGUGUACCAAGACUCCCAAAAUUAUUUACAGCCCGAUUUGACCUAUAAAAUAGAAAUAAAGACCCAAAAUUCGGUAUUCAGGUUCAAUUCGCCAGCUCUACAUUACAAGCUGUUAGUGCAUACCUGAACUUUCACAAGCAUUGGUUCAAUAAUAUGACCAAAAAGAAACAGAUUUCAUGGUCAUCAAAUGGAGAAGCACAAAAUCACAACAUUAAACCCAGAUUCAUGUCAAAAUAAUCAUCAUUUUAUCAUCUGAUGAUAUGUAGAAAAUAUUCACUAGGUAUACUUGUCGAAACAUCUACUACCCAUUAACCAUAUCAAAUUGGCAUCAAUCAUUGGAGGCAGAAAUUUACAGUUAAACACCCACCCCCAAACAAAAAAAGUUACUUUUGAGGAAUCUUACAUUAAUUAAUUAAUCUUGCUUUAGAGCCUUUGCAAUGAAGGCUUUAAUAACAACGAUUAAAAGGUAUGCUAAAGCCGUGACAGAAACACCAGCCACCAAGACGAGAUGAUCAUAAGCAGCGCCCUGGACUGAGUAAACACGAAGACUAAUUGUAUUCCAAUUGCUCUCUGUCCAAACAGGGUCUGCUGGAUCUGAAGGCAACACGGUCCAGCUUUCGGACUCGUAUUUCAACCGAGUGGAAUAUGCCGGGACAUACCUGGUUGUGGAAAUGGCACAUACACCUUUCCCAUCUAUCUCCUUUUUGACGCACACCCCACCUGUCUGGCUGCUGCAGUUUUCAGAGCAUGGGCCACCAUUCGUUGACGUCAUGUCAGCCAUAAAAUUCCACACAAAUCUCGGAACAUCAUUCACAUAACCAUAAUAAGGUUCUGAAGGAUCCCCCUGAAUAACACCUACAUAAUGGCUCGGGCAUGCAGAUGACGGAGAAAUAUAGCGAUUCACGAGCUCACAUGAGAGACCCGGUUCACAACUUAGUAAGCAGCCCACAAGUUCCUCAACAAGAGAGGUGUUGACUUUGAUUGACUUUAAGGAUGAAUCACUUAAAUCGUUGUUAUUGCUUGCAAGAACAUAAAGUGUACGAGCAACUAAAGAAGCAGCGGCCGCUAUAGCUGAAGAAUUGAUGU